rnacentral:misc_RNA from 1 species
UUUCCGUAGGUGAACCUGCGGAAGGAUCAUCAAAGAGUAAGGGUCCUCUAGGCCCGACCUCCCAACCCUUUGUUUACCAAACCAAUGUUGCUUCGGCGGGCCCGUCUUAGGACCGCCGGAGGACCGUCGAAACGUCCUCUGGCCCGCGCCCGUCGAUGGCCCUUAUUAUUAAACUCUGAACCAAACGUGUCCUGUCUGAGUGAUUAUUAUCAAAAUUAAAGCAAAAACUUUCAACAACGGAUCUCUUGGUUCUG